UGCCUCAUGAAGGUAUCUGUUCUGGCCAUUUAUCAACUGUUCUUUCUUGCCUUCUUUCAGGUCGGCAUAAGUUUUCACCAGAUGGAGAAAGUGACGUGGGCAGCACAAACUCACAAGGCACGCCCCUCUCCAAGAAGCAGCCGGGAGGGGGAGGAAGUCACGUGGCCAUCCCGCCAGACGCCCUGUACACGCCAACAUCAAAAUCGAACGGCUCUUCGAAGGACUCAACCCAGUACGAAAACGGCAAGAAUGGAUCGCAGAACGGUCGACCUGAGCCCCCGCCACGGGCAUCCGACGGGAGCAUCGUGUACGCCAGCCUGGACCUGCCGGCUGCUCCCGCGCAGAACGGCAACAGGCCGGCGCCGGAACGCACCGAGUACGCCGAGUUGCAGUUCCAGGCCAACGGAGCACAGCAGCCCACAUCCGAACACGCGUCCCUCUGAGCCGCCAUUGGACUCAAAGUCCAUCCAGAGCAGCGCGUAUUCAAAGACUGACGGACCGAGCGACGUGCGAAUGCUUCGUACAGGGUGCUACAUGGGAUAGACCACGACCUCCUAUAUUUGUCAGUGCCUCUCCAGGCACCCCGCAAUGCACAAGAGAGCUGUGGUCCACUGCGGCGGCAUCACAUUUCCAGUCAUUUUUAUACCUGUUGUUGCUGUCCGCUGCUGCAGCUUCGUUACUAUUCUUUACCGUGCUUUCUGCACUGCACGGGAUCACGUGGGAUGAAAAAUAAUCAGCGUGAGUCUAUUAUAGCUAUGUUCUCGUAAAUUGCCUGCCUGUAAAUCACGACCAACCACUGCGAAUGUGACGCCCUCUCAGUGACCACCGGUUUUGUUGUCACUGGGUUGGGUAUCGAGGGAGGCUAUGGUUACACCAACGUUACUAGAUUAACCUAGGCUAGUAACGUUGGGUUAUACCUACUGAAAUAUACCAACGGCAGCUUUCUGCGUAUUCGUACUUAAUGAAAAGAAGCUAGUGUCACUUUUCUAACCGCUAGAGCCAGCCAUUUAUCGUGCUACACAUUAGAUAGGAGGACUUACGGAAAGUAAUGUUUCUUUUGGCGUUCCCUGUUGUCGAAUGAAACAUUAGGCAGCGAAGUGUUUCUGGGACAAGAAGAUAAAUGGGCAACAAUUGGUUGAAAGUGUUUAGUUAUUACAGUUAACGAAGCGCAUCGAAGUACCUCUGAAGUUGCACACAGGCGAUACCCUAGAUAACGACGAAGAAGUAUGCAGCAUUUUAACAUAUUUAGAGGAACGUUAUCAUUGACGUCAGCUGAUUUUUCGGCUGAAUGGAAGCUGUCGUCGGCACAACUAUCAUAGUGACUCCAUGUGGCCGCGGCAUAUAAUGUAAACAGGAAAAUUUGUUGAAGGUGGUUUUGCAGUCGACGCAUCUAAGACUUCCCGAAAAACUGUAUUGGUUGUAGCCCUCAGAACUAGAACAUAGCGUCCAUUUUUUUCAUCGCUUGCGAUAACACGCUCGGCUAGUCGGAAGUUGAAAAUCGAUGCUAUAGUUCUUUUUCGAUGAUGGCAGUAGCAUUACUGCUGCCGAUGCUGCUGUCAUGUAAUGUGAACCCUUACAGAAUUGUUCCGUUUCCCUUGCAAUUGUCCGUGCUUCGCAACAAGAGCUCCAGCUGCGUUGCCUGCUGCAGAAGACCCCCAGUGUAUUAUUUUUGUUUUGCUUGAAACAGGGACUUUGUGACCUAAUUGAUGUAACGCAGCAUUUACUUAAAACAUUGCCGUGUCAUAAGGCUCGUGAAAAGCUAACCUUUAGUAACUGAGAGGAUUGGUUGUUUUUUUUUUCUCAAAGGGAAAGGGUUCCACUGGUUCGUCGGUCAUGGUAGUGCUUGGUAGCUCUAGGGCCCUUUAUAUCAGGGAUUCCCUGCUAGAACAUUCGAGACCGUUACUUUGACUUUGAUCGCACGUACUCUUCGAACGAGGCGCCAUUUCCAGGCGUAGCUUCGCUUCUCACUCUCACAAGUUGCCCUUAUUGAGCUUUUGAUAAGGCGUAUCGAUUGGGGAUCUACUGAUAAGGUUGAUCGUAUAUUGCGUGUUGCACGCAUCCCCUCAGCGGUCUUCAACAAGUUCAGCAGCGUUGCACAAGCUACGUCGGCUAGUGAGUUACUCGGAGAUGGUGCACCGAGUUCCAGAAGAAGCUUGCACUGCCUAGCUCACACCUGUGCAAAAGGAGACGACGAUGCAUCCCCGUUUGCGACGUGUUUUACGUUCAGAGCCAUAUGCUGUGUGCUUAUGCUAGUGUGUCGUGUGAAUAUUGUAUGCUUUGUGUUUGAGUGUGUGUUUGUGUGUGUGUUGUGCGCUACGUUUAAAGGCCUCAACGCAGCCUUAGGCAAGGUGCCUGCGUUCGUACCGAGGAGAUGUAAUGAAACUGACCUUUAACCAACGUUGUAAGUGUAAAUAGCGACAGCCAUUUUCUACUCUUGUUUUGAUGGACAAACUUCGUGCCGUCCGAUGAAAUAGCAGAAUACAUCGUAUAGGAAAGAAAUUUAUCACUGAGAGCUUGUAUUACUGCAGUUUUUAAAAGGGCGCCCUUAUACGCGAGUAUUCUGUGAAUCUUUCUCUUUCAGGAAGAGUAUUACAGGUGUGAAGUACGACUCCCUUGUUCCCCUACUUUGAGUAUUGCGUGGUAGAAAUAAACUCGCUACUUUCUGAUACAACAUUAAGUAUGACGAAGUCCAGCCUUUCAGUGUGAACUCACUUGCCACGUGACCAGCACAGGCAGGUCUCUCCAUUGGUUGCAUGCGCAAUGCUAAAUAAUGUUAAUUGAUAUGCAAGUACACUUACCUUGUAUAUAACCCCCGAACUCCGCCUCCCCCUUGCCCUAGAAAAUUUCAAGUACUUAGUACAUUAGCCUAUCGCGGUGUGAAAAUAUAAAAGAUUGAAGCGGUUUCCUUUCAUCUUUUCGAAUGUCAACAGAAUCCGAGAAAGUACGCAGCAAUGUAAGGAGCUUGCCAUGCAGAAUAUGUUAUCAUAAUAAUAAAUAGAUAUUGCGCUUGCCUGAAAACAUUAAGUGCCCAAGAUGAUAUUUAAAACAACCCUCAAGACUAAGAAAAAACUUCUCCUCCUCGGUUCUCAACACAUAUACAAAGUUCAUUGUACAUACACUGUAGUGAACGAGGUAUAUCUUUAAGUGAGUAGACCAGAUGUUUCGCACAAAGGAUUUUUUGAAAAUAGCUUUUCUUUAAUAUUCUUAUUCAGCGCAUUGUCAUCUAUUAUGUCUAGUAGUCUGUAUGUAUGCAUGUACAUGUACUCAUGAGAUGAAUGAAGAGUAGAUUAUGAAAUGAGCCGUUGUAGUCAUUGUGGCACUGAAUAUACACAGCCUUUUUCGUUUUGAUAUUGUCGGAAGUGUUAUUUGCGUUGUACUUGAAACAAGAUAUGCGCAUGCUCUGGUGGUGAAUGCCAAAUGCUCCAAUGUGUCUUUUGCAAUGUAAGUUGUGAAUAUAUAAGUAGGCUUUAGUGCCGCUGAAAAGUCGGGGUCACGGGAAAUGUGUUGCCCUUGGAAAAACUUUUUGUCGCAUACCCUCUCCAUAAUUAUUGCGAGAAAUACUCUUAAAAAGGGAAAUGAAUUCGAACUUUCUUAUCUUGUUUGUAAAUUAUUGGUACGGCUUUUCCCAAUACAAGCUAGGACAUUCUGUUUGUCUUAUUACUAACGGGAAAAUGGCGCUACACUCUAUCAUCAACUUUGUUUUGUUUGCUGAUCUGAAUUGACUAAAGUUCCACAAUAAGCGUUUUCCGAAAACGCUUCAUCUGUGAUUACAUUAUUCUGUCACAGAGAUGUAGUUAAACUUUUUCUGUGUGAUUUUCUCGCAGGCGUUAAGAUGAUCUGUUGCAUUGGUGACACUAACAAACUUUCUGAUCAUCUGGCUAUUUUUCGUCUUGAAAAACAUAAACUGAGGACACAAUUUUUGUCAUUGCUAAUCUCCUUGUAAUCACCUUUUGAAAAUAUGGUUUGUUUAGUUGCGUUAAACAAAUGCAACAUUUUUUGCUGGCAAAUAUUGUCAUAUAUUUAUUACGACUCUUUCAACUCUUCUCAUUGAUAGGCCAUCAUUUAUUAUCAAUUCCGCGAGUACUGAUGAAAAAGAUAACAGAACCGAAAUGCACCACAGACACAUCCUUUUCGUGGCUUGAUAAAUUUUUACCUCUGGUGGCGGCUCAAAAGAAAUAAGAAAAUGAAGUACAAUAUUUAUCAUUCCAUUUUACGACGUGUUUGCGUCUUUUUUUAACUAUGCUGCUUAACUAUCGACUAGCACUUAGUCAGUUUUGUUAGUUGACACGUAAUCUUUAAUUUGCCAGCUCAUUUACCACGCUAAACUUUCACGCUGCUUGAUGCAGCCCGUGCUACUUCAGUCAUGUAUAAUCAUCAUUGUUCACAUGAGCGCUACGUUGAUGCACAGUUACCGCAAUUAUUUUUCUAUGACGUUUUAUUGCCGAAUUUGUACUUGUAUGUAGCGCGAUCAAACUUACGUUUGUACAUUUGCUACAUCACUUGUGGGACAAUAGCAGCCUCAACAAAAUGAGCCUGAUAUGUUUCUUUACAUAGUAAAAAAAAAACAAAAAAAAAGAUAAAUCGUGUUAUAUUCCCUCCCUUUUCUUACACCAUGUGCAAAGUAUUCCAGAUGACGUUUGCUUUGACAGUAAAUAGCGAUUAAGUGUGGAAGUGCUUCUUGCGUAUCUCAUGCAUAUGUCCUGUCCAGCUUUUCUAUUUGCUUUGAGAGCAUCCCGUUUGCGGGUCAGUACUUCAAUAAAGUUUGCACCCGUCCGUGUUUAUAGGUGUUCUGCAGGGCGACUGCAAGAACUUAUUUGUGUAGCUACAAGAAUUGCUCUUCAUGAAGCGUUCGAGAUCUCUCGGCUGUAAGUUGUGCUAAUAAAGUAUAUUUUUUCGUGUA
rnacentral:lncRNA from 1 species